rnacentral:rRNA from 1 species
UACGAAGGGGGCUAGCGUUGUUCGGAAUUACUGGGCGUAAAGCGCACGUAGGCGGGUUGUUAAGUCAGGGGUGAAAUCCUGGAGCUCAACUCCAGAACUGCCUUUGAUACUGGCAACCUAGAGACUGGAAGAGGUUAGUGGAAUUCCCAGUGUAGAGGUGAAAUUCGUAGAUAUUGGGAAGAACACCAGUGGCGAAGGCGGCUUGCCAGAAUGCGCUCGACGGUGAGGGAUGAAAGCUGGGGGAGCAAACCGG